AGUUCAGCUGGGCCCAGUAAGCUUGGUACCGGACUCCUGUAUCUACACUUGGCAUUACUCCGAACUGCCACCACAACUGCCAGGCAAGUUCCUGCUCCACCCACUAGACUAACACGGCUACCACUCUGAAACCCAUCUUCUGAGAAUGUAUCCACAGUGUAUGGGCAGUAGAAGUGAGCCAGCUGUUUGAAGAAACACCAGGAACCUAUCUCCAUGCAGUCAUCCAUCUCCUUCCACCUAGAGUCCAUUUCUGGACCAAGAAAUCCACUGGCUGCAGCUGUUACAUUUCUGUGUCUUCUCCAUCACCGAGAUCUUGGGAAUCAAGUACAGUACACCUCUCUAACUGCCUGAUCCCGUGACUUCGUCUCUAUAUAAUCCACAAACACCACAUGGUACCAGGAGUGGGCGAAUAAGAGUAUAUGACAAAGGGGGAUAAAGAAAAUGGAGCAGCUAAGAGCUUCACUGGAGUUGAAUUUAUCUGGCAGUUCAGGCAACUGGAAGAGAGUUCAACAGAGAUUCAGCCUGUACAAGCAAGCAAGUGGCUUCAUUGAAAAAGAAGAUAAGCAGAAGUUGCUAUCUGGUCACCCUAUAAGAACUGCUCUGUGAAAUGGGCUUGAAACUGACUAGAAAUGAAACUGAAACUGCUACUGAGAAGCUUUUGAUCAGAUAAGAAGAGUCAGACACUGUGAUGCAUCUGUAUGAUUUUAUACUGUGCAAGAAAGGAUAAAAGGAUACUUCAUCUGGAUUUGGACUUCCCCAAAAGUUU